UACGGGGGGGGCAAGCGUUGUUCGGAAUUACUGGGCGUAAAGGGCUCGUAGGCGGCCAACUAAGUCAGACGUGAAAUCCCUCGGCUUAACCGGGGAACUGCGUCUGAUACUGGAUGGCUUGAAUCCGGGAGAGGGAUGCGGAAUUCCAGGUGUAGCGGUGAAAUGCGUAGAUAUCUGGAGGAACACCGGUGGCGAAGGCGGCAUCCUGGACCAAUUCUGACGCUGAGGAGCGAAAGCCAGGGGAGCAAACGGG
rnacentral:rRNA from 1 species